AUUGGACGCUGGCGGCAGGCCUAACACAUGCAAGUCGAGCGGUAGAGAGGAGCUUGCUUCUCUUGAGAGCGGCGGACGGGUGAGUAAUGUCUAGGAAUCUGCCUGGUAGUGGGGGAUAACGUUCGGAAACGGACGCUAAUACCGCAUACGUCCUACGGGAGAAAGUGGGGGAUCUUCGGACCUCACGCUAUCAGAUGCGCCUAGGUAGGAUUAGCUAGUUGGUGAGGUAGAGGCUCACCAAGGCGACGAUCCGUAACUGGUCUUAGAGGAUGAGUAGUCAGACUGGAACUGAGACACGGGCCAGACUCCUACGGGAGGCAGCAGUGGUGAAUAUUGGACAAUGGGCGCAAGCCUGAUCCAGCCAUGCCGCGUGUGUGAAGAAGGUCUUCGGAUUGUAAAGCACUUUAAGUUGGGAGGAAGGUCAGUAGCUUAAUACGUUGCUGAUUUGACGUUACCGACAGAAUAAGCACCGGCUAACUCUGUGCCAGCAGCCGCAGUAAAAC
rnacentral:rRNA from 1 species